rnacentral:lncRNA from 1 species
UGGGGUCGACUAGGUCCAGCAUGAUCAGAGAUACAGAGCCUUCACCUAGAGGGCGAGACUUGAGUCAUGGAUGGACUCGAGGGAGUGGACAAAUUCAUGGAUCAUUCCCAUCUAUGAGUAGUUUUAGGGGACUUUCCCUUGAGCCCUGUGUUAAGAAUAUUGGAUGUGUGGGUUUCAUUCCAGUUCCUCAGAGUUCUUCAACCUCAGUCUUGAAGGGAUUGUUGAUUUAUUUGUCGACCCAUUUGGAGGAUACUCUAUUGAGUUCAUUUUGUAUUCCCCUAUCUUUGAGUAUGGUACCUCCAUAUGUGCCAGAGUCUAUUGAUGGUGUUCCUCCAGCUGCUUCUGCUUCUAUUUUGGGUACUACUCUAACCCAGAGUACUAUUCUUCCUUCAGUACCUGAAUUGGACUGUGGUGUUCCGAGAUUAAGAGUUCAGCCUUUAUUUAUUUUACCUUCCUAGGUGGGGCCUUAUCCAGAUGGACUUUCUAUGCUUCCUACUCUUCGGCGACCGAUAAUAUAGAUGGUAAUAUUUAGGGAAUAAUUUUAGAGUAUGAGGGUUAGCAAAGGAUGUAUGGAUUUAUUCCUCAAACAUCUCAAAGUGGAUCCAAAAGGGUGUGCCUUUAGAAAAAGUUUAGAGGUUGCUUUGUAUAUGAUGAGUUUGGCCAUCUGUACAAGAAAUAUCCCUGUCGUGUGUUUAGAGUUGCUCCUAUUUUAGAUGUAAGAGGUAGGGGUUUUGCCAUAAGUACAAAAUAUAGAGGUAGUGGAGCCCGUGGUGGUGGUUGUGGGGAUAAUCAAGCAGUUAGUGGUCGUGGCAGUGCUAUGUUAUACCAGCCAAACCUGAGGUAGGGGCUUUAAAUGUUAUGAUCAUAGGUGUCAUCCCCAUUUGUUUCAUACCUGCAUCUAUGCUAUUUGACCCCUAGUCGACUUUCUUCUAUGUUACUAUAUAUUUUUCUUCAUGUUUUGAUUCUAUUAGUGAGCCUCUCACCAUGCCUAUUCAUGUAUCUACCCCAGUAGGUGAUUCCAUAGUGGUGGAUCGGGUGUACCAAUCUUGUGUUGUGACUUUUUCUGAGCAUGAGACUUGGGUAGAUUUAUCUGUGUUAGAUAUGGUUGAUUUUGAUGUUAUUUUGGGAACGGAUUGGGUGUGCCAAGGAUAGCUUGAAAGAAUGCACUUUUUUCAAAUCCUAAGAGGAUCAUAUCUUAUGUUUAGGCUCGUAGAUAGGUUGAGAUAGGAUGUCUGUCUUAUUUUUCUCAUAUUCAUGAUACUAGUGUUGUUUUGUCUCCUUUCUUAGAUUCUGUUCAUGUUCUCCGUGAGUUUAUGGGUGUGUUCCCUACUGAUUUGCCUAGUAAGACUCCAGAUCAUGAUAUUAUUUUGAUGUUGACAUUGAGUUGGGCACCAAGACCAUUUUUCUUCCUCUUUAUAAGAUGGCCCCAAUCGAUUUAAAGGAAUUCAAGGGUUAGUUAUAGGAUUGGUUGGAUAAGGGAUUUAUCCGACCAAGUUUAUUGCCUUAGGGUAUGCCUAUUUUAUUUGUGAAGAAGAAGGAUGGGUCUACGAAGAUGUGUAUUGAUUAUUAUAAUCAAACAAGGUGACGUUUAAGAAUAAGUAUCCUCUUCCUCAUAUUGAUGAUUUAUUUGAUGAGCUUCAAGGUGUUUUAGUGUUUUUGAAGAUUGAUUUGAGGUUCGACUAGCACCAGUUGAGUAUUAGAGAUUGAGACAUUUCGAUGAUGGAUUUUAGAACUCGAUAUGGUCACUAUGAGCUCUUGGUCAUGUCCUAUGAGUUGACAAAUGCCCCUGCCGCAUUCAUGGAGGUGAUGAAUCAGGUGUUCUAACCCUAACUCAACUUCUUUAUUAUUGUAUUUUUUGGUUUAAUUUGGUAUUAUAUUAAUCAAAUGAAAAAAGUUCUUUAUUAUUGUAAUUAUAAAUGAUAACUUGGUUUAUUCAAAGAGUGAGGUUAAUCAUGAGGAGCAUUUAUUGAUUGUGCUUCAGAGAUUAAGGGAUGAGAAGUUUUAUGCUAAGUUCUCCAAGUGUGAUUUUUGGUUGGAGUGUUUUUAUUUCUUAGGUCAUAUGGUGAUUAAGGAUGGUAGUAUGGUUGAUACAUCAAAGAUUGUAUUGGUUUGUGAUAGGGAUAGACCUACUUUGCCUACCGAUAUUUGGAGUUUUGUUGGCUUAGCUCGGUAUUAUCAAUUUUUUUAAGGUUUUAUCUUUUAUUGCAUCUCUUUUGACUAAGUUAACUUAGAAGAAGAUUUGUAAUACCCCGCAGAAUCAUUGCGUCCGAGUUCAUCUCACUUAGCUUUACAAGCCUUAACAUUUAGCAAAUUUUCAUAAGUGUUCAACACUUAGUCUCAUUUUAGACCCCCAAACUUCGGGGAUUUAUUUAACAACCUUCCCAACACUCGUUUUUCGAUUUUCAACUUGCGUUGUGAUGGGGCAAGGUUAUAGUACAUCCCGGGUAAGUUUUGGAAUUUUUAGAGUCCGAUUAGGGCUUGUUUAGAUUUCAAAACAGUAGCACCAGACGAUCUGUGGGCGCCGCCCAGGCUAUAGCACUGCAGUAAGGUAGGCGCCGCCUAGUCUACCUCAGUGCACUAAGGCAAGCGACGCCUCCUAACUCUGGUGGUACGCCCAGUUUUCUACACUCUAGCUCCAUGUUCUAGGGAUUAUUUUCAUAAUUUUCCUACCUCUAUAUAGGUCAUAAACACGGUAUUAGGGCUAAUUUACACUACAUAAUACAACUUUUCAUCAAAUUUUCUCAAGAACUCAAGUUAGGGUUUUCAUAGAAGCUCCAAUAAUCAAGAGAUUUCACCGUAGAACUUCAAGGAAACUUCUAACUAAGGUAUGCGUGAGUUGAUUCAUGGACUCCUUUCAUCUACGAAGCUCAAGAACCAUCUUCUAAAUUAUGUUAUUGAUGGUUGAUAAUCAUGUUGUUGGAGUUUGAUGAUGCCCAAGAUGCGAUUUUUGUAUGUUUGUGUGAAGCUAUGGUGGUAUAUGAUGUACAAAUAUAUGAAAUUUGUGGUUGAAUACUUGUAAUCUUGAUGAACCCACCUAUGCCUAAGGUGUGCAUGUAAGGUGUUUGUGAAAAUAUCUAAGAGACUAGAAAUCAUGCUUUUAUGAUAUAGUAGGUCUUAAGUGACUAUUAUAUGUUCUAAGUUUAUGUUCAAUGUGAUUCCCCUGCUAUUAUCUUGAAUUAAAGAUGUUGUAUGAGAUGCUCAUGAUAUUGUUGUGAUGUGGAAUGACCAUGAUAUUGAAGCCAUACAAGUAUAUACAUGUCGUGUGCAUUCCCGUCCAUGUGAUAGUUUGUUGAGAACCAUGCUUAUUAUGAAAUCCUGACUUAUGAUACUGUGAAUUAUGGACUCUACUCUUAUAAUCAAGUCAGUCAUGUGUGUCAGUUUCCUUCCAUCGAGUCCUGGGGGUACUUGUACCCGAAAACUAUAGUUAUGUGCCUAGAACCAGUAUCAUGUUUCAUGGUAUCCUCAGUCAAACUACGUUCCAUAGAUUUCAGUUAGUCAUGCGACUCAGGAAAACUCAAAAAAGCUCAGCAGUUCAGUAGUCUCAGUAAUUUUAGUACUCUCAGUUAGACCUCAGAUCUCAAGUAACCUUUCCGUCAGUCAGCGAAACCCAGUGAAUUCAGCUUAGCUCAGCUAAGAAAAUACUAUCGGCUCAGUUAAUCAGUUCAGUUUAGCUAGUCAAUUUAGCUCAGAUAAUCAUGUUUAGUGUCAUUCAGAUGGGAGUAUGAUUUAGCACUGAGCGAACCUAGGGAUAGGGGCUCACCCGUUAGAUAGGACUGAGAUCCCUAGAAGUAAUCCCUUAGUUCUAGAACUACUUAGCCAGCGUAGGUACGAGAUUUCACCCGUUAGAUAGGACUGUCAUACUCAGGGGUCACCCAUUAGCACAUUUAUAUGUAUAGGACUGAUUCUAGGAGUCACCCGCUAUAUUAGGACUGACUCCAAUGCAAAUGUCUUUACUGGUGGCAUAGUACUGACAGCCUUCCAGUCAGGGCAGAGAUUGGACCCCAGUCAGCUUAGCAUGGGGCAUGUCGGUUAUAUGAAUAUAUCCCAUAGUUUUAGUUAUAGAAAUUAUGAAUGUCAGAUACAGUCAACUCAGUUUGGUAGUAUAGACUCAGGACUGUUAGACCCAGUCAGUCCCUAUCAUUAUAAAUAGACGCCAAGAUCACCCAUUAGACAGGACUGAUCUCAACUAUAGUUUCAGUAUCAGUAAUAUUAGACUUAGAGAUCAUCCACUAGAGAGGACUGAUCUCAUUUAUAGUCAACCAGAAUUAGCAUUAUCAGACUUAGAGAUCACCCAUUAGGUAGGACUGAUCUCAGACUUAGUUAAGUCAUUCUUAUCUAUUAAUGUAUUCAGAGAUCACCCGUUAGUCAGGACUGAUCUUACAUUUAGAUAUUCAGAUACAGUAUGGAACUCAGAUAGUUCCACCAUAAUUAGGACUGUUAGAUGCAGUCAUCCAUGUUAUCAGUCUCUCAAUCAUUCAGUGUCUUAGUAUCAGUGAAUUUAUGUAGUCAGAAUUCAAACUCAUUAGUCAGCAUCUCCACGAGUUCAGUAGCAGUUACGCAUGUAUGUAUGUAUUCUCACGUUCAUAUUAGUCAGCAUGUUCAUGCAUAUAAACCCCAUGAAUUUAGCCUACCCCCGCAUAUACUCAGUACUUUAGUUGUACUGACGCAUUCGCGCUAUGGUGUUUUCUUUUUACGUUACACCAUAGGUUCUGAGGCACAUGUUCUAGAUUAGCAAUAGCAGUUUAGUUAGCAGUGAGUCCUCAUCUUUUGAGGAUAUGAUCAUUUCAUUUAUCAUUCUAAUAUUUCAGUUUACUUUCAGUUUAGAGAGUUAGUUGGAGACAUGUUCCUUCAACUCCUUAUCUAGACAGUAGAGGCUAUUCAGACGAUUACAGAGUUUUUAGAUUCAUACUUUAAUAUUUUUAGUUUUUUUUGGUACUACGAUACCAUCUUAUUCAGAUGUUUUAUCGUUCAGUGUUGAACCUUACAGCCUUUUGGUUCAUGUUUCCACAUAUUAUAUGUAUAUUAUACAGGUACAGGUACAGAUAUUAGUCAUGGGUUAGCUUGUGGUCCUUUGGGCUCAUGAGCACUGUGUAGCAUUCUGGUUCAGAAAAUUGGGGUGUUACAAACUUGGUAUCAGAGCCUAAGGUUCAAUAGAGUCCUAAGAAGUCUGAAAUCUGCAUCUAGUAGAGUCUUGUACAUGCGUGUGUUGUGCACCACACUUAUGUGCAGGAAGCUAUGAGAUAUUUUAGGAAUAGUUUCCCUUCUUUCAGUAUUCAUGUCAUGACAGUGAGCAUAAUCUCAGUCUAAUCCAUUUCUCUUUUUCUUCUACAGACAUGCCUCCUAAAAGACAAAAUGGGAAUUAGUCAGCCCCUCAGCUCGAAGAGCCUUUAGAUAAUAAUGUUUCUCAUACAGAGUUUAGGGCUGCAUUUACCACUCUUAAUCAGUCAUUCACUACUCAGAAUGAAUGACCAACAUUCGUUACAUCCAACCCAGCGGCCAAUCUAGCUGCAUCUAGAAUUCGGGACUUCACCCGAAUGGAUCCUCCUUUGUUCACAAGGUUUAAGUCAGAUGAGAACCCGCAAGAAUUCAUAGAUCAAGUCUAGAAAGUUGUAGAAAUCAUGGGAGUCACUUCUUGUCAGAGUGUCGAGUUAGCCACAUACCAGUUACAGGAUGUUGCUUAUACUUGGUAUAAAUAAUGGAAGAUCGAGAGAUUAGAGGAUACAGGUCCUGUUGAGUGGGAGGAAUUUGUCACGACUUUCUUAUACAGAUUCUUUCUCCAAGAGUUGAGGGAGGCAAAAUUUUUAGAGUUCAUCAACCUUAGAAAGGGAAAUAUGAUGGUGAAAGAGUAUUCUCUAAAGUUUACUCAAUUAGCCAGAUAUGCCCCUCAUGUGGUUACAGACAGUCGUGCUAAGAUGAGUAAGUUUGUGUUAGGGGUGAAUGAUAGCAUGGUGAAUAAGUGCAGAUCUACUAUGUUGAUAGGAGAUAUGACUUUAGCUAGGCUUAUGACUCAUGCCCAUCAGAUAGAGGAACAGAGUAAGAUGAGGGACGAAUGUUCCCAAGGGGGAGAUAUUGAAAGACCCCAUAGAAUCAUUGUGUUCGAGUUCAGCUCACUUAGCUUUACAAGCCUCAAGAUUUAGCAAAUUUUCGUAAGUGUUCAAUACUUAGUCUCAUUUUAGACCCUCAAACUUUGGGGAUUUAUUUGACAACCUUCCCGACACUCGUUUUUUGAUUUUUAAGUUACGUUGUGAUAGGUCAAGGUUGUAGUACAUCCCAUGUAAGUUUUGGAAUUUUUGAAAUCCAUUUAGGGGUUGUUUGGAUUUCAAAAAAGUAGAACCGGGCGAUCUGUAGGUGCCGCCCAGGUUAUAGCACUACAGUAAGGCAGGCGCCGCCUGGUCUGCCUAGGUAGAAUAAGGCAGGUGACGCCUACUAACUCCAGUGGUACCCCAGUUUCUAUACUCCAGUUCUGUGUCUUAGGGGUUAUUUUAGUAAUUUUUCUACCCCUAUUAGGUCAUAAACAUGGGAUUAGGGCUCUUUUACACCACAUUAUACAACUUUUCAUCAAAUUUUCUCAAGAACUCAAGUUACAGUUUUCAUAGAAGCUCCAAGAAUCAAGAGAUUUCACCAUAGAACUUCAAGGAAACUUCUAACAAAGGUAUACGUGAGUUGAUUCAUGGACUCCUUGCGUCCAUGAAGCUCAAGAACCAUCUUCUAAAUUAUGUAUUAUGAUGUUUAUGUUGUUGAUGGUUGAUGAUCAUGUUGUUGGAGUUUGAUGAUGCCCAAGAUGGGAUUUUUGUAUGUUUGUGUAAAGCUAAGGUGGUAUAUAAUGUACGAAUAUGUAAAAUUUAUGGUUGAAUACUUGUAAUAUUGAUGAACCCACCUAUGCCUAAGGUAUGCAUGUAAGGUAUUUGUGAAAAUAUCUAAGAGACUAGAAAUCAUGUUUUUUAUGACAUAGUAGGUCCUAAGUGACUAUUCCAUGUUCUAAGUUUAUGUUCAACGUGAUUCCCAUGCUAUUAUCUUGAAUUGAAAAUGUUGUUUGAGAUGCUCAUGAUAUUGUUGUGAUGUGGAAUGACCAUGAUAUUGAAGCCAUGCAAGUAUAUACAUGUCGUGUGCAUUCCCGUCCAUGUGAUAGUUUGUUGAGAACCAUGCUUAUUAUGAAAUCCCUACUUAUGAUAUUAUGAAUUAUGGACUCUACUCUUAUAAUCAAGUCAGUCAUGUGUGUCAGUUUUCUUCCAUCAAGUCCUGGGGUUACUUGUACCCGAAAACUAUAGCUGUGUACCUAGAGACAGUGUUAUGUUUCAUGAUAUCCUCAGUCAAGCUAUGUUCCAUAGAUUUCAGUUAGUCAUGCGACUCAGGAAAACUCAAAAAAUCUUAGCAGUUCAGUAGUCUCAGUAAUUUUAGUACUCUCAAUUAGACCUCAGAUCUCAAGUAGCCUUUCCGUCAGUCUACAGAACCCUGUGAAUUCAGAUUAGCUCAGCUAAGAAAAUACUAUCAGCUCAGUUAGUCAAUUUACUUAAUUAGUUCAGUUCAAUUAUUCAGUUCAGCUCAGAUAAUCAUGUUGAGUGUCAUUCAGAUGGGAGUAGGAUUUAGCACUGAGGGAACCUAGGGAUGGGGGCUCACCCGUUAGAUAGGACUGAGAUCCCUAGAAGCAAUCCCUAAGUUCUAAAACUACGUAGCCAACAUAGGUACAAGAUGUCACCCGUUAUAUAGGACUGACAUACUCAGGGGUCACCCAUUAGCACAUUUAUAUGUAUAGGACUGAUUCUAGGAGUCACCCUCUAGAUUAGGACUGACUCCAUAGCAAAUGUCUUUACUGGUGGCAUAGUACUAAAACCCUUCCAUUCAGGGUAGAGAUUGGACCCCGGUCAGCUUAGCAUGGCACAUGUCGAUUACAUGAAUACAUCCCACAGUUUCAGUUUCAGAAAUCAUGACUUUCAGAUACAGUCAACUCAGUUUGGUAGUAUAGACUCAGGACUGUUAGACACAGUCAGUCCCUAUCAUUAUAAAUAGACUCUAAGAUCACCCAUUAGAUAGGACUGAUCUCAACUAUAGUUUCAGUAUCAGUACCAUCAGAUUUAGAGAUCACCCACUAGAUAGGACUGAUCUCAUUUAUAGUCAACCAGUAUCAGCAUUAUCAGACUUACAGAUCACCCAUUAGGUAGGACUUAUCUAAGACUAAAUUAAGCCAUUCUUAUCUUUUAGUGUAUUCAGAUAUCACCCGUUAGUUAGGACUGAUCUUAGAUUCAGAUAUUCAGAUAUAGUAUGGAACUCAUAUAGUUCCACCAGAAUUAGGACUGUUAGAUACAGUCAUCCAUGUUAUCAAUCUCUCAGUCAUUUAGUGUCUCAAUAUCAGUAAAUUCAUUUAGUUAGAAUCCAAACUCAUUAGUCAGUAUCUCCACGAGUUCAGUAGCAGUUACGCAUGUAUGUAUGUAUUCUCACGUUCAUAUUAUUCAGCAUGUUCAUGCAUAUAAACCCCAUGCAUUUAGCCUACCCCCGCAUAUACUCAGUACUUUAGUUGUACUGAUGCAUUUGCGCUAUGAUGCUUUUUUUUAUGUUACACCAUAGGUUCUGAGGCGCAUGCUCCAGGUCAGCAAUAGCAGUUUAGUUAGUAGUGAGUCCUCAUCUUUCAAGGACAUAAUCAUUUCAUUUAUCAUUCCAGUAUUUCAGUUUACUUUCAGUUUAAGGAGUUAGUUGGAGACAUGUUCCUUCAACUCCUUAUCUAGACAGUAGAGGCUAUUCAGACGAUUACAGAGUCUUUAGAUUCAGACUUUAGUAUUUUUAGUUUUCUUUUAGUACUGCGAUACCAUCUUAUUUAGAAAUUUUAUCAUUUAGUGUUGAACCUUACGUCCUUUUAGUUCAUGUUUUUGCACAUUAUAUGUAUAUUAUACAGUUAUAGGUACAGAUAUCAGUCAUGGGUUAGCUUGUGGUCCUUCAGGGUCAUGAGCACUGUGUAGCACUUCAGUUCAGAAAAUCAAGGCAUUACAAGAUUUUAUUUCAAUGAUCCGAUGCUUGGGAGGCGAGCUUUCAAAAGCUCAAGGAUUUAUUGACUUCAACUCCUAUAUUGACUUUACCCAAGGAGGGCAUGGGCUUUACCAUAAUUUAUGAUAUUUUGGGUAUUGCUUAUGUGUGUUGUCAGUUGAAGCCUUAUGAAAGAAAUUACCCUAUCUAUGACUUAGAGUUGUGUGUAAUUGUUUUUCUUUAAAGUUGUGGAGACACUAUUUGUAUGGAGUUUGUUUUGAGAUCUUUUUAGAUCACGCCCUCAAUACUUCUUCAACCAGCGAGACCUUAAUAUGAGGCGGCAUCAUUGGCUUGAGUUGCUCAAGGAUUAUGACUUGACUAUUCUCUAUCAUUCAGGCAAGGAUAAUGUGUUUGUGGAUGCCUUGAGUCGGAGUUGAAAGUUAACUAGCAUGGGUAUCUUGGCGCAUACUUUUACCCAAGAGAGGCCUUUGGCCUUUGAGGUUCAGUCUUUAGCUAACCAAAUAGUUAGGGUUAAUAUUUCAAUACCUGGGUGUGUUUCUGAAUUUGUGGGGCUAGGUCUUCUUUAAUUGAGAAAAUUUGUACGUAUCAGUUGGAUGAUAUGGGAUUGAGGUCUAUUCGAGAUAAGACGUUGAAUGGAGAGGCUAAAGAAGCCUCACUUAAUUAAGAUAGAGUUUGGAGAACUGGGGAUCGAGUUUGUGUAAGGAGAUUGGGUGAUUUGAUUAGAUUAAUUUUGGAGGAGCCUCAUUGUUCCAAGUAUUUUAUCCACCUGAGAGUGACUAAGAUGUAUCGUGAUUUGAAGCAGCAUUACAGGGGGUUGCUAUGAGGAAGGAUAUAAUGGAUUUUGUAGCUCAUUGCCUUUGUUAACAAUAGGUGAAGGCCUAGCUAUUGAGACUUGGUGGAUUUCUUUUGAGGUUACCUAUUUUUUAGUGGAAAUGGAAGCGAAUUACUAUGGAAUUAAUGCCCAGAUUGACGCACACUUCCUAUGGUUCUUAUAGUGUUUAGAUUAUUUGUAAUGCCCUGAGUCAAUAACCAGAUGCUACACGAUGCUCAUAAUCCCGAAGGACCAGAAACUAACCCAUGACUGGUACCUGCUAUAAAAACUGAAUAGUAAUACUGCAAAUAUGCAGAUAUUAGGCAAAAACCAUAAGGUUUAAUACAGAAAUAAAACUGAAUAUAGUAUAACAAUACUCCAGUCUAAAAAACCUCUACUAUCUGAAUCAUGGAGUUGACGAGACAAGCCUUCAACUAACUCAAACUAAUGAACACUUUACUGAUAAACCAAAAUGCUGAAGAAAAUAAUCAUAUCCUAUGAGGACUCAUCACUAACUUUGACUGCUAAAGAUCUGAAUAGCUAAGGGUGAUCGGGAGCCCGUGCAUCUGAACCUACGAUAUAAAACAUCAUACGUAAGAGAAAAGUAUUCGUCAGUACUUUGAAUGUACUGGUAUGCUAAGUGAGGUAGGUUGAAAUGCAUGGGUUCAUAUACAUGAACAAUACUGACUAAAUGACAUGAAUGCAACUGAAUGGCAGUACAUGCAUGAAUACGUAACUUAAUCUGAGAUCAUGAAAAUACUAGAUACUGUGUACUAAAUUACUGAUAUACCAAUAUCUGAGUUUAUUGAUACUGUGUAGCUGAUAACUGAGUGACUAUAUCUAACAGUCUUGAUCCUGUGGAACUAUAUUAUGUUCUAUACUAAACUGAGUGACAGUAUCUGAUAGUCCUGAGUAUGUAAAACUAAACUAAGUUCUAUUCUGACUGGAACUGAAACUGAGACUCUAGGAGGUAAUCAUCUAAUAGACAUGCCCCUUUGUAAAUAGAUUACGGUCCAGCCUAUAGCCUAGUUAGAAGGGGUCACUACCGUGCUACGAGUAAAGACAACUUUGAGUUAACCCUCUCUGACAGGAAGCUCUUUCGUCAACCUUUGUUGGCAGGAAAACUCGUAGAAGAUGUAUCAACUCUAGUAUGGCAGGAAGAUAUCUUAACCUACGCUGGCUACGUAGUUCUGUAAUGCAGGAAUUGCUACUAAGGGUCAAACCCUCUGCUGGCAGGAAGGCCCCCAUCCUUGGGUUAACUCGGUGUUGAAUCCUACUCCCAACUGAAUAGACACUGAACGGAUUUCCUAGUCAUACUAGGCUUGACUGAACUGUUACUGAUUUUACUGAGUUCCACUGACUGAUGAAAUACUACUAAAUUCAUUUAGUUGAUGGAGUUUACUGAGGUCUUAACUGAAUACUUAACUAGACGAAACUAAGACUGAAUCUACUGAGUUCUCCUGAGUCCUGUAACUGACUGAGAGUACUACUAAUCAUGACGUGACUGAGAUUAUUUUGUAACUGGCACUUGCUCUAGGUAAACAACUAAAUUGUCGGGUAGAAAUACCCCCAGGACUCUAUAGCAUGAAAAGUAAAGCUUCACAUAAUCUUGCAUAGCAUAGCAUAAAAAGGUACAUUUGUUCAUAAUGCAUCUAUAGAGGCAUUUUAUCAAAUACGUGCAUGGCAUGAAAUGGUAUACAUACUAGCAUGAUAUAAUUUGAUCAUUACAUUCACAUAAGAAAUUCAUCAAACACUUAGAUAGCAUAAUCUAUGCACAUGACACUAAAGCAAUAUGGGAACAUCAUGAUUCAAUUCCAAAUUCACAUUUCCAUGAGUUUCAACAUGAAUUCACAUGAUAAAUCACACAUGUCAAUUAAUUCUACAUCAAUCUUGUAAUAUAUCAUGAAAUAGAAACCCAAUUAUAAGCAAUAAUCAUGAAUACACUUUGAUUUCAAAUCUUGGACUCCAAGGGUGGAAGGAAACCUUGGAUGAACACUUGACAUGCCUUGGUUAUUUAAUUCGUGAAGAACAAUGGCAAAAUCUUGAGCGUUGACUUUGGAAUCAAAUCACCUAGGGUUCCUGUUCUUGAGAAAUUUGAGAAAAGGUGAGUGCAUAUUGCUUAGUGAGGGCUGAAUUUGAUGUUUUAGGGCUUAAUAGGGAUGGGAAAAAGGACCCAAAUACCCCUAUGGAUAUGGCUUUUUAAUGCCUGAAAUCCAAAUUAUCGACGCGUAGACCGACACACUGCAUCAUUAGCAUCAACAAAAUGGCUAAUGCGCAGGAUCAAGUCCGCGUUGGUUCACUGAAUUUGUACUGAGCUGAAGAAAAAAUUAUUUGUCGGCACGAGGGACGACGCGACGCAUUGAGAUAGCGUUGACUGACUUUAUUGGUCACUUGAACAUAGUCUAAACGAGGUCCAAAAAAUCCAAAACUUGUUCGAAAACACCUACUGACAUUCCUAAUCAUGAAUCAAUCUAAAGAUUGAUACUUUAAGGUCAUAAGAGUCAUGAAAUAGAGUUGCCAACUUAAAAAGGACAAAAUAAUACUAAGUCCGAAUACUUAUUUAGAAUAUUCUAAGUCUGGGACCCCUUAGAAAGCUUAAAAGACUGAGUUAAAUUUAGGAUUUUUUGGGGUCUUACAAUAUCUCCCCCUUGGGAAAAUUCAUCCUCGAAUGAAACUAAUUAAAUCGAGAAUACUGAUAGAUUGGACAUAAACACUGAACAUGCACAACUGAAGCCUGAUUUCAUGACUGAAAUUAUUAAUGUACUGAAUUAUCAUACUAAACAUGCAUUUCUGAUGCAUGAGUACAUAGUUGAACAUGAUUAAUGAAUGCAUAACUGGGAUUACUAAUAAGAUGGGCUUAUAUACUAGACAUGCAUGUCUGAUGCAUGAGUACAUGGCUGAACUAAUGCAUGACUGAAUAUGCAAUGGUAAUAGAUACAAAGUUUAUAACUGUAACUUAACAUGGACUAAGCCAAUCUAAGAAAUACUAUUACCAUAAGCUGAGAAUACUGAUGAACUUGAGAUCAUUUACUAAAUAUGUAUGAACGGGAAUAUGAGAACAUAACUUAGACUGAAAUAGGAUACAUGAACUGAAUAUUAUGAACUGAACUGAUCCCCUGAAUACAUGGCUUAUGACUAAGAUUGGAACUUGAGUGUGCACCUAUAAGUACCCACUACUCUAAAUAGGAUUCAUUACAUGCAGAGAAGAUGAAAGGUUUAGGUCAUGAAAGAUUAGGGGUAUUAUAGUACAUGUCUCCUAUGGGACAUUAUAUCCCUUUAAGAAUGCUGACUUGGCUGAGAUACUGAGGGAAAACUUAGAUGAUACACAGGGCACCUACGAACUGAAUUGUGACUGCAUAUAGGGGAUCUAAAACUGAGGCAUGACACCUAGACUGAGUUGAACUUGCAACCACAGGGUUGCUCGAUUUUGUAAUAAUUACUUUCAAGAGACUUCAGAUAGUGCGACUAGAUGGAAGGAUGGGAAACCCAACCAUACAAACAUUGUUCGCCUAACUACUAAUUUGAAUUACUAGUUUUACGAACUAACUUAUGUUCGACUGCAGCCUUUCUUUGACANNNNNNNNNNNNNNNNNNNNNNNNNNNNNNNNNUGGAAUGGCUGAAUAAAAUAGCUAAAUUAGAAAAUCACAUCUUGGCUAAAAUUCUAUAAUAUGAGUUUGGGCCUAUGAAACAUCAUCUAAGAUGAAGAGACAAAGCCUUAUGCACUACAAAUUUUCAAGCUUAGACAUAUCCCUUGAAUACCGUCUCAACUAUAGUCUCCACCUUACUACAGCACAUCACCUGAGACUACUGAAAAUAUUCACAUGGGUGUUGAGCACCAGUGCAUAAACAUACUAACUUAUCUAAUUAUCUGAAAGGAUGAUAGUUGAAUACUUGCUCAUGUAAUAUUGAACAGCACUUGGUCUGAAUAGCUAGACUGGAACUGUAGGGUAUUAUACAUAUAAUGUAAGGACUGACUGUGUAACAGGAGAUAAUUGAGCUUGAAUUUAUGAAAACUAUAUUAUUUAAGAAUGCAAGACCAAGUUUAUAACAUGAUUCUGAAAUAUUCUAUAAUCUGAGGUACUAAAAUACUGGUAACUAAGUAAUUGGUAAUUAUACACUAUGGUCAAGCAAACCCGAAAUUGAACUAAGCUUAUGAUCUGAUUACUGGACUAAGACUAUGACUGAGACUGUAACUAAGAUGGUAACUGAGACUAUACAGGAACUGAAUACUGGGUUCUGAUAGCUAUGUGAUGAGGACUAACAUAAAUUGAGGAUCUGAAUAGACACUCACACUCUGUAUUUUCUCAACUACUCAUCUUACCAAAAAUUCUGAUUUUCAUCCCUUCAUGCACUUAAUAUGACUUUCUGCUAGCCAUUUGCUUUCACACUUACCUAAUAGUCAAGCCUAUCUUCAUAACAACAGCCUCGUGUAAAACAGGUAUGCAAGCACUCAUCACUAAUCAUUUCAUAAAAAGAGUUCACUGAAGGGUUAAAACAUGAGGACCGAAGCAUGAAUAAAUACUAUUACGAACUUAACACUUACUAAGGCUUAGGAAUAGAAUAUCAACAUCAUAGAUGCACCAAAAGGCCUAAACUGAGGAUAAGCGUGACAUAAUUUAAAUUUAGCUGAUCAUUGUGGGUAUAACAUGAGUCAUGGGAACUAAACAUACUGUAAAGCAUGACAUGAGUACAUGAUUUAGGAGCUAUAUGACCUGAGUCAGGAGUUUCUGUAUUCACGAAACAUUAUUUGUAAUAUUAGUGAACUUGAACUCCUUAUACUAGGAACUGUAAGCGUGCAUGAUUGCCAACGUGCACGAGUAUGGGCUAUGAUGAUAGAGCUGACAUGUAAGAGAUGAAUAGAUAUCAUGAUAACUAAUGGGUUUUAAGAGUCUGGAAUAUGAUUCAGAGAUUAUCUACGUAAUCAUUCUCACUACGGGAAUAGACAAGAGUGUCAUUGCUGAAGGUUAUGAUUAACAUGUUCAAGUACUUCUUAAUCACACGGUUCAUCAAGUCCUUGAAAGCUACUGGGGCAUUGGUAAGACCAAAAGACAUGACUAAGAAUUUAAAGUGAUCAUACUGAGUUUUGAAAGCUAUCUUAGGAAUGUCACAGUCUCUGACUCUAAGCUGAUGAUAGCCUGAUCUAAGGUCUAUCUUAGAAAAGUAACUAGCACCCUAAAGUUGGUUAAACAAGUCAUUGAUUCUACUAAGUGGAUACUUUUUCUUGACUGUGACUUUAUUUAGCUGACGGUAAUCAAUACACAUUCUAAGAGAAUCGUCUUUCUUAUACAUGAAUAAAAUUGGGGCACCCCAUGGGGAUUACACUAGGGCUGAUGAAUCUCUUAUCUAGGAGAUUCUUCAACUGUUUUAUUAAUUCUCUAAGUUCUGUAGGUGCCAUUCUGUAUGGCGAGAUAGAUAUGGGCUGAGUAUCUGGAAGAAGGUCCAUUCCAAAGUUGAUUUCCCUUUCGGGAGGAACUCUGGGGAGAUCUUGGGGAAAUACAUUUGGGAAUUCAUAUGCUAUUGAAAUUGAUUCAAGAUUAUGGGGUUCUGAACUAGAGUCCUGGACUUAAACGAGAUGGUAUACACAUCCUUUAGAUAUUAUUUUUCUUUCCCUUAGGUAAAAAACAACCUGGCCCUUAAGUGCUGAAGUACUACCCCUCCACUCAAGGAUGGGUUCAUUCAAAAACUAAAACUUAACAAUUCUAUUUCUACAAUCGACAAAGGCAUAACAGGAAUAAAGCCAAUCCAUGCCGAGAAUAACAUCAAAAUUGGUCAUCUCUAAUUAGACUAAGACUGCUGAAGUGACUUUACGAGACACCAUAAAUGAACAGUUUCUAUAUACCGGCCGAGCUACGAUAGAUUUACCUACUGCAGUAGAGACUGAGAAAGGCUCUACUAGGAUUUUGGGACUGACUCCAAAGGCAACAACUAUAAAAGGAGUAACAAAGGACAAAGAAGCUCCUGGUUCUAGCAAAGAAUAAACUUAUAAAUGAUAAACUUUUAAUGUACCAGUGACCACAUCAGGAGAACUCUCCUGAUUCAUUCAAGACUGAAGUGCAUAGAGUCUGUUUAGGCAUUGCCUACUGGUAGCACUGGAAGUGGCACCCUGCUGAUUUGAGUGACCUGACUGAGCUGAGGGAUGGUUAUGUUGACUCUGGGAACCUGACUAGGGACAAUCUCUGACUAUAUGACCUGGCUUGCUACACCCGAAACACACAUCACUGCCAGCCCUACAGAUACCCUAGUAGUUUCUGCCAUAUUUUAGACAAAAGAGAUUGGUUCGACCACUCUUUGGCCUAGAUGUUAUAUCCCUCUUAUUCUUUCUCUACUUUUUCCUAUGCCUCUCCUCCUUACUCUGUGGAGCAUGAGCCAUAAGCCUAGGUAGGAUAACGGCCAGCUGAUUAUUCUAAGAAACUAUAUAAUGAGCUAAAGUGGUUAAAGAAACUCUAAACUAAGUGUGAGAAACAUGCUCAUUCAGGAGAUCUGCCUGAGCAUGCGAAGGGGCAAACUGGUUUUCACUACUUCUUUUGUUAGCUCAUGCUCACUUGCACGACAUGAUUACUGAAAGAAGGGAAACUUUUCUGAAAACAUCUAAUAGCCUUCUAUCUAUAAGUGUGGCACGCUACACACCCAUGCACAAGACUAUACUAGAUGCAGCUUUUAGACUUCCUAGUUCUUUGUUGAACCUUAGGAUCUGAUACCAAGUUUGUAAUGCCCCGAGUCUGUACCCCGUACACUACACGGUGCUCAUAAUCUCGAAGGACCACAAGCUAACUCAUGACUAGUACCUGCUGUAAUAACUGAAUAGUAAUAUUGCAAAUAUGUAAAAAUUAGGCAAAAACUUGCCAUAAGAUUCAAUACUGAAAUAAAACUGAAUACGAUAUAACAAUACCAAAACUGAAACAUCUGUCUGAAAAUACUCUAGUCUGAAACGCCUCUACUGACUGAAAUAUGGAGUUGAUGGGACAAGCCCCCAACUAACUCUAACUACUAAAAAUUGUACUAAUAAAUUGAAAUACAAAAGAAAAUAAUUAUGUCCUCGAACUAUAAGAACUCACCACUAACUCAGACUAUUGAAGAUCUGAACUGCUAAGGGUGCUCGGGAGCCCGUGUGUCUGAACCUAUGAUAUAAAACAUCAUAGCAUAAGAGAAAAGUAUAUGUCUGUACUUUAAAUGUACUGGUAUGCUAAGUAAGGUAGGCUGAAAUGCAUGGGUUCAUGUGCAUGAACAAUACUGACUGAAUGACAUAAAUAUAACUGAAUGGGAGUACAUGUAUGAAUACGUAUACUGUAAUUUGAGAUCGUGGUAACAUUAGAUACCAUGUUCUGAAUUACUGAUAUUCUAGUUUACUGAUACUGUGUAACUAAUAACUGAGUGGUUGUAUCUAAUAUUCUUGAUCUUGUGGAACUAUACUGAGUUUCGUACUGAACUGAUUGACUGUAUCUGAUAGUCUUGAACUUAUAAAACUGAACUGAAUUCUAUUCAGAGACUAGAAUUAAAACUGAGACUGUGGGAGGUAAUUAUCUAACCGACAUGCCCCUUUUUAAACAAAUUGGGGUCAAACUUGUAACCCCAGUUAGAAGGGUGUUAGUAACAUUCCAUGGGUAAAGACAACUAUGAGUUAACCCUCUCUGAUAGAAAGAUCUUUCAUCAAUUCUCGCUGGCAGGAAAACUCAUAUAAGAUGUAUCAACCCUAGUCUAGCAGGAAGAUAUGUCAACCUACACUGGCUAUGUAGUUAUGUAAUGCAAGGAUUGCUACUAAGGGUCAAACCCUUUGCUGGAAGGAAUGCCCCAAUCCUUGGGUUAACUCGGUGCUAAAUCCUACUCCUAACUGAAUAAACACUGAACUAAUUUCCUAGUUUAAACUAGGCUUGACUGAAUAAUUAGUAAUUUUACUGAGUUUCUUUGACUGAUGGAAUACUACUGAAUUCUGGUAGCUGACUGAGUUUACUGAGGUCUGAACUGAAUACUGAACUAGUCGGGAUUAAUACUGAAUGUACUGAGUUCUCCUGAGUCUUGUAACUAACUGAGAGUACUACUGAUCAUGACGUGACUGAGAUUAUUCUGAAACUAUUACUGGCUCUAGGUAAACAGCUAAAUUGUCGGGUAUAAAUACCCCCUAGGUCUUGAUAGCAUGAAAAGUAAAGUUUUACCUGAUCUUGUAUUGCAUAGCAUAAAAAUGCGCACUUGUUCAUAAUACAUCUAUAGAGGCAUUUUAUCAAACACUGCAUGACAUAAAACGGUAUACAUACUAGCAUGAUGUAAUCUUAUCAUUACAUUCACGUGAGCAAUUCAUCAAACACUUGGAUAGCAUAAUCUAUGUACAUGACACUAAAACAACAUGUGAGCAUCGUGAUUCAAUUCCUAAUUCACAAUUCCAUGGGUUUCAACAUGAAUUCACAUGACAAAUGACACAUGUCAAUUAAUUCUACAUCAAUAUGGUAAUAAAUCAUGAUAUAGAAACCCAAUUAUAGCAAUAAUUAUGAAUACACUUUUAUUUCAAAUCAUAGCAAGCAUGAAAACAAUCUACUUGAAGUUUAAAAGUGUUUCUUGGACUCCAAGGGUGGAAGGAACCCUUGGAUGAACACUUCACAGACCUUGGUUUUUUAAUUCUUGAAGAACAACAGUAAAAUCUUAAGCCUUGGAUUUGAAAUUAAAUCACCUAGGGUUCUUAUUCUUGAGAAUUUUGAGAGAAAGUGAGUGUAUGUUGCUUAAUGAGGGCUGGAUCUCGUGUUUCAGGGCUGAAUAGAGGUGGGGAAAAAGACCAAAAUAACCCUAUGGAUGCGAAUUUUUAAUGAUUGAAAACCAAAUUAUCGAUGCGCAGAUCGACGCACCGUGUCAUUGGCAUCAAUACGAUGGCCAAUGCGCUACGUCAGUUCACUGGAAUUUGCACUAAGCUAAGGGAAAAAUUAUUUAUCGGUGCGAGGGACAACGCGACACAUUGAGAUCGCGACGACUUACUAUUUUGUUCACUCGAACAUGGUCUAAACAAGGUCCAACAAAUCCGAAACUUGUCCGAAAAUACCUAUUGACAUUAUUGAUCAUGAAUCAAUCUAACGAUCGAUACUUUAAGGUCAUAAGAGUCGUGAAAUAGAGUUACCAACUUACAAAGGCCAAAAUAAUACUCAGUCUGAAUACAUAGCUAGAAUUUUCUAAGUCUGGAUCCCUUAGCAAACUUAAAAGACUGAGUUGAGCUUUGGAUUUUGUGGGGUCUUACAAUAUCUCCCUCUUGGGAAUAUUCAUCCUAGAAUGAGAUUGAUUAAACUAAGAAUACUGGUAGAUUAGACUUAGAAACUGAACAUACACAACUGAAGCAUAAUUUCGUGACUGGAAUUAUUAAUAUACUGAAUUAUCAUACUGAACAUGCAUAUUGAUGCAUGAAUACAUAGCUGAACAUGAUUCAUGAAUGCAUAACUGGGAUUACUAAUAAGAUGGGUUUGUAUACUGGACAUGCAUGUCUGAUGCAUGAGUAUAUGAUUGAACUGAUUUGUGAAUACAUGACUGAAUAUGCAAUGGUAAUGGAUACCAUAUUUAUAAAUAUAACUUAACAUGGACUAAGCCAAUCUAAGGAAGACUGUUACCUUAAGUAGAGAAUACUGAUGAACCUGAGAUCAUUUACUAAACAUGUAGGAAUGGGAACAUGACAACAUAACUAAGACUGAAAUGGGAUAAUGAACUGAAUAUCAUAAACUAAACUAAGCCCCUAAAUACAUGGUUAAGACUGAGAUUGGAACUUGAGGGUGGACCUAUGAGUACCCAUUACUCCAAACUUGAUUCAUUACGUGUAGAGAAGAUGGAAAGUUUUGGUCAUGAAAUAUCGGCGGGAUUAUAGUAUAUCUCUCCCUUGGGACAUUAUGUCCCUUGAAGAACGCUGGCUUGGCUGAGAUACUGAGGAAAAACUGAGAUGAUGCACCGGACUGAAUAGUGACUCCAUAUGGGCGAUUUGAAACUAAGGCAUGACACCCAGACUGAGCUGAAAGAAUAGAAAUUACUGAAUGAGAUAAAUCAAUUUAAGGAAAAAUUGGAAAUAAAAAACAAAGAAUUAGAAAUAAAUAAUAUAGACGUUAAAAAGACAGAUAAUUAUGAUUCAGAAGAUAGUGAAACAUAUACAAAAAUAUUAACAAAUACAAAAAAUUUAGAAAUCAAUGAAAAACAAGAAGUAAUUAACGAGGAAAACUUAGAAAGUACCAACACAGAAAUAAAUACUCUUGAUAAAAAAGAAGAUGAAAAUUUAAUAUCUAAAACAGCAGAAAUAAGAAAACCUGCAUAUUAUAAGAAUAAGUUUAAAAAGCAUAAUGAAUAUGACAAAUGGACACCAAAAUAGAUAGUUAAUAAAAAUUAUAACUUUUUAGACCUAGACUGUGUAAUAGAUACAGAAAAAAUAAUACAAUUAUGGAUAGGAUAUAUGACAAAACAAUUAUUAGAUAAUAAUAUAAACAUAACAGCUGCACCAGAAUAUAUAGAAAGAACACUAAUAGGAUCAGUAAAACUAUGGUUUUCAAAUUUAACUGAAAAUAGCAAGAAAGUAUUAAGAACUAAUAAACCUAUAGAAGGAACAUCAUCGACAACAACUAAACUAACACCUAUAGAACUAUUAAAAAAAUAUGAAACAGCUAUAAAAGAUGAAUUUGGUAGUACGACAACAAUCGAAGAAGAACAAAAUGAAGAAAAAGAUACAAAUAGAAAUUUAAUGUUAAAAUUAGCAAUAUGUAAUAUGUGUUAUAUAGAUGAAUAUACUUGCGCAUUUAAAGAAUAUUAUUACAAAGGAGCAUAUAGUAUAGAAGAAAGUAAAGAAAUAAGAAAAUUAUAUUUUAAUAAAUUACCCGAGCCAUUUAGUUCGAAAAUAAUAAAAAGUUGGGAAGAAGCAAAAAUAGUAGAUACGUUAGGAGCAAGAAUAAAAUAUUUACAACAAUGGUAUAGAAACUUAUGUGAAAAAUAUAG